UCCAUAAUUGCCAAAAAAGGGCAAGAAUCGGAUGAUUUAUUCAAAAUUGUACAUGAAAAUUCACACUUUUCCUUAAGGAACAGGAUUGACAGUGAACAAUGCAUUGACUGGAAUGUAGAAAGCGUCCUAGAUAUAGCAUCCGUUUUCAAGGACUUCAUUAAAAACAUAGAUGGAAGCUUGCUGACAUCUGAUUUAUAUGAAAAUUGGCUUAGCGUCAUGGAUGAAGGGACUGUGGCUGGAAGAAUUACUGCCAUCCAAAGACUUUUACUAAGGAUCCCACAAGAAAAUUUUAGUGUACUAAACCAUCUCAUUUCUGUAUUAGUAAUAAUCAAAGACUCAUCCAUGAAUAAUUUAAACAGUAAGAGAUUAUCUAUCCGCAUAGCUCCUUAUGCGCUUUGGGAUCGGACUAGAAGGGGAUCAUUGUUUGGGAGUGAUAUGUCAAUAAAGAUAUCUCUUAUGCAAAUCAUGAUUGACAACUAUAUUCCAAUAUUUGAAAAUGAUAAUAAAUAUUGCUCUGAUGGACUAAAGACAUCUGCUGAUUUCAUAAAUUCUUCAGGAAAAUCACCUAUUAUGAAAGAAGUCAUAGGUGACCACAAUGGGAAAACCUGUGAUGAUGAAGAAUUUGAUAUUUCAUAUACUAUCCUGUAGGAGGAAAGUCCUAUAGCAGGACAGAACAAAACAACCACCACAUAUAAGUGGUAGAGUAUGACUGAAGACGUUCUAAGGUCAUUCUAUUCUUAUGUUCCUGUCUACCUCCCACUAAAUCAUAGCAGAAGAUAUUAUUACAAGAUCCUACUUCUGCUUUAUAUUUCACCAUAUUAGUUACAAAUAGUUUCCCUAAUUAUUCUUAUUUUAUGCUGUAGUUUAUAUAUUUGCUAUUAUAAUAAAUUUUAUUAAAUUGUGUUAUUGCUUACACUACAGUGUGCCUUGUUCAUGAUUCUCCAUAGUCUUUGGAAAAUGGCAUUUUUCAGUCUCUGCCUCUACAGCCCACUUCUAGUACUAGUUUUCCCACCUCAGUUACCAAAGUAUGGCCAGAAACUAAUGACAUUAAAAAUCUCUCAGAGUUAUGCCUCGAAUCCAGUGCCAUAAAAAACUAAAUAAAAUUCCAUUAACAAAAUUAAUCAUCACACUUGUUGAAAUUAGAGGUGGAUUAUGGUUUUUAGAAUACACAAAAUGACCUGAAAACAUAAGUGCCUUAGCAAUUGAAAUGUGAAAUUAAUUUGGGUUAUAAAAACAUACAUUAAGAAACAAGCAAAACUGGGUAUUGUAGCACCAGCAUCUCUAGACCAGAAGCUUCUACCUGGAUGGAGAGUAGAGUUGGAGACAUUAAGAAGUUAAGAGAAGGCAUUUGGCCAGAAUUUCCUGACAUGUUGUUCAGUAAUGAUUAAAAAGAGAUCUUGUGACAGAAAGAGAGAGAGAGAGAGAGAGAGAGAGAGAGAGAGAGAGAGAGAGAGAGAGAGAGAGGAGAAGAGAGAAGAGAAGAGAAGAGAAGAGAACAGAAGAGAACAGAAGAGAAGAGAAGAGAAGAGAAGAGAAGAGAAGAGAAGAGAAGAGAAGAAGAGAAGAGAGAGUAAAACGCUGGAGGCUCUUAAAUUUCAAUAAGCUGAAAGCUGCAUUACAUACACUCAGAAGUGCACAGAAGCAUACAGCAUAUUUGUUGUAUCUCUCUUCAUAACCAGAGACCUCAACAUGAAAUAUUCUUUAUUCAUGGUUUGUCUAUCUCAAAAGGGUCUUAAAUACAUUGGAGAUAUGGAAAUCUUAGAGAAAACCUCCAGUAAAAUAAUUCAUAAUUUCCAUAAUUACUGCUUCUUGGUCCCUCCUGAUAGGAGUAUUAUUUUAAGUUCAAAAUGUUUUCAUUUAUUACUAUUAUUUUUUCACUUUUAUUGAAAAUUGAUUUAUAGCGCUGUAGGCUGAAUUUUUGUCUUCCUUCCCUGCAAUCUCUAAUUCAUUUGAAUAUUGUUUUAUAUAUGUAUUUAUUUAUAUAUAUAUCUGCAUCUAAAAAUAUGAUUACGAGUUGAGAACAUUUUCCUGUGUUUGUGAAUAUGGUUUUCAUGAAGUUAAGUGUGUAUUAGACAAUCAAUAUGCAGAUAUUUGCUGGAAAAAUUAAUAUUCUGGCAGUCACCUUUAGCUGCACAUAACUUUUGAAACAUGAAAUUUUAACUAUUGCCUUAAUACUACAUUGAUACUGCUGUUAUUGUGGUUUUCCACCUAAUUUUAUGAAAGGAAAUUUCCAAACAGACUUUCAAGUAUGCUGACUUUUACACUAACCCCCCUUCUACAAUGUUCCCUGAGCUCCAGAGAGUUUAGCCAUAAUGUACAUAAAUUCACUAGUGGUAGAUUUUCCACAAUUUCCUUAUUUCUUCAUCGUUUUCUGGAAUGCUCUCCGUUUUCGGUACAAAGAAGCUUCUUUGAUGAUGGAUGAUGACCCCACUUAUUGAUGGAAAUAAUAUUAAUAUGUAGAAUGCUGUAAGGAACUUGAUGACUUAGUAAAUUUAUGUGAUAAAUAUUAAGGUUUAUGACCUCAAUAGCUCCUUAAAUCUGACUAGAUUUUUUUGUACUAGCCAUGAUUUCAAUCAUUUUGAGAGAAAUUCUUCCAAUUGUUCAAUAUUUCAAGUGAUUUUUCCCAAAAUAUGAUGCUUUCGUUAGCACUUGGAUUCCUGUCAAGUUUCGGGGCUUGAGUGCCUGUUGCCAAAUAAAACUUACAGGGAUGUCUCAGCAGGCAACUGAUUCUAGAUGGAUAUGUCUAGAAACCUCUAUCUUUAAGUCAAGUUUCUAAGGUAGGUAAAACAGUAUGUAGGUUGGCAUGUUAGGAAAGCAACUGAUAGUUGUACCCACCUUGAACACCUAUGAAAUAUGACAAUAACUAGUAUGGUAGGAUAUCAGUAUAGGUGCAAUGAGUGACACUAACAAAUCAAUUGUAACCAACUGCUCUUUGAAUAGACUUAAAUGUAUUUUCCUUUCCACAGAAUUGAACUUUGUUCUGGGUCUUCCAUUUGCUUUCUCAGAAAAAAAUGUUAUUCCAAAGUACCCCUUUAAAUUUCAACAUUUUAUGUCUUGAUAUUUCUCUUUAAGACUAUUCAUGUAAGUCCUUUCACUUGUCCAAAUCACACAAUUUCACUCCUCUAUGACAAGAUAAAUUCAUUUUCCUAGUAUAAUAUAAAAUAAAUAUAUGAUUCCUUCAUUUUUGGCUACUUAUUUUUCUUCUUUCCACAUCUGCAAUUAGCUUUCAUUGACUGUAGUCUGAAAUGUGAAAAGUUGAUAUUGCAAGUAAUAAGAGAAUGCUUUCCAUCCUGAGUUAAGUGAAGAACGUUUAGCAGUGAUGGCCUUAUUUUUGCAAGGAUGGUAAUCAUUCUAUUUCCUAGAGUUUCCUUAAAGUGUGUGCUGCCCAUCCCUAGGUACUUAUCAACUAUUAUGGAACCAAUGGCUUGCUGUGCACAUCUUAGGUCAUACUCAAUGGAGUCUUGUUUCGUAUAGCAUUUGUAAACAAGUGGGAAAAUAUUACACAUGAAUGAGGCCAGGGGACACACAUUAGUAGUUAAGUAGUCAAAGUUCUCUUUCUGAAGAUUCUUUGACAGUAAACAAAAGUGACCCUAAAUGUUCCCUUAAAACAUUAACUGAACAAGAACAACACAAAUGAACAUGUAAAACUAAGAGGGACCUGAAACUUACACAAAGAAAUGUAGGCAAUUACAUAGUGAGCAAGUGUAUACAAUUGUAUCUAAAACAAGUGUAUUUUUUGGAUGUAGGAGAAAGAUGAAACCCCUUUUGGAAUCCAAACUGAUAGUCUGUUUAUUAUUGAUUUGAGACAGUUAAUGCUUAGCGUUAUUAAUGAGCAGUAUAUAUGAGUCUUUGAUAUUUUGUUGCCAUACUUUUCCCCCUUUUUUAAUGAAUGGGUACAGGGUUAUUUAUCACUUUUGUUCUCUUCAGUAUAUACCUUUUCUUCAGACUGCUGUUUUCCUUUUGUAGACCAAGAUUGUUAAUGAGAAAUGGCGUUCUGUUAAUUACAUUAUGUAAUGUUUCAAGAGCUGGGUAUUUAGCUCAGUGGUAGAGCGCUUACCUAGGAAGCACAAGGCCCUGGGUUAGGUCCCC
rnacentral:lncRNA from 1 species